UUCAACUUGUGAACUACUGAAUGAAAGCCUAGUUUUUCGCAUAGUCAGUUUCAUUCCGAGCACGGUCAGAUAAACAUGUAUGUUCUGUGAGUGGAAGAAUCAUCGCGAUAAUAAUUUGUUUUUGUGAAUACUGUAACUAAUUUCAUCGAGAUAACGGUGGUAUAAUCGUGUUGCGUUGUUAAUUUGUGAUAUUUUAGCUAUUCGCCGGGAUUUUAUUGCAUAAGGAAGGGCUCACUUCAUACUGGUGGGUCUGCUGUGAAAAUAAAGCUAAAGAGCAUCAUCACCAACAACAGCAGCAAGCAGCAGCCGAGGGGUCAAAACGACUACCAGAAAUAAAGCAGAUAAAAAGCACUCUCGCAGCAGAGGCGAAGAAGGAAAAUGUCGUCUUGUUUUGAAAAGUGAUUCAGCCCUACCUCGCAAUAUAGAGAAAGUGUACCGAGGCGAAAAAAGUAAAAUUUGUGAAUAAGUGUUAAUUUGUCAUUGUUUGUGCAACAUAGUUUCGUUCAAAAGUGGAAUAAUCUGUUUGUAAUAAGAAAAUUGCAUUCGCCAACGCAAAUUGCAACUUGCAUUCAAUCAGACGGAUUGAAAGUAUUCUCAAAGGCUACAAGGAAAAUCUGAGUUCAAUCAUCCAUCGAAUCAAAACAUAAAGCGGCAAGGGAAUUUGGUGUCCAAGUGCUAGAAGAAUACGCGGAUAUCGAUUGUUUCGCGAGUGCUGCUUUGAGCUGGGUUUGAGAAAUACCGAGUUUUCAUUGGAUAUCCUGAUAUUCGAAGUGGAGCACACUCUGGUUGUGGUGGCCAGGGGCUCGCGACAAAAUUCAGAAUCAUAGGAUCACUGGAGGAAAAAAACGUCGUCGUCAUUACGGAGACCAACGGAACGGCGAACGUCGUCGUCGACAGUAUGGUGAAACG